rnacentral:rRNA from 1 species
AAGAUUAAUACAAGAUGGCAUCAUGAGUCCGCAUGUUCACAUGAUUAAAGGUAUUCCGGUAGACGAUGGGGAUGCGUUCCAUUAGAUAGUAGGCGGGGUAACGGCCCACCUAGUCUUCGAUGGAUAGGGGUUCUGAGAGGAAGGUCCCCCACAUUGGAACUGAGACACGGUCCAAACUCCUACGGGAGGCAGCAGUGAGGAAUAUUGGUCAAUGGGCGAGAGCCUGAACCAGCCAAGUAGCGUGAAGGAUGACUGCCCUAUGGGUUGUAAACUUCUUUUAUAAAGGAAUAAAGUCGGGUAUGGAUACCCGUUUGCAUGUACUUUAUGAAUAAGGAUCGGCUAACUCCGUGCCAGCAGCCGCGGUAAUACGGAGGAUCCGAGCGUUAUCCGGAUUUAUUGGGUUUAAAGGGAGCGUAGAUGGAUGUUUAAGUCAGUUGUGAAAGUUUGCGGCUCAACCGUAAAAUUGCAGUUGAUACUGGAUAUCUUGAGUGCAGUUGAGGCAGGCGGAAUUCGUGGUGUAGCGGUGAAAUGCUUAGAUAUCACGAAGAACUCCGAUUGCGAAGGCAGCCUGCUAAGCUGCAACUGACAUUGAGGCUCGAAAGUGUGGGUAUCAAACAGGAUUAGAUACCCUGGUAGUCCACACGGUAAACGAUGAAUACUCGCUGUUUGCGAUAUACUGCAAGCGGCCAAGCGAAAGCGUUAAGUAUUCCACCUGGGGAGUACGCCGGCAACGGUGAAACUCAAAGGAAUUGACGG